AGAGUUGAUCAUGGCUCAGGAUGAACGCUAGCUACAGGCUUAACACAUGCAGGUCGAGGGCAGCAUGAACUUAGCUUGCUAAGUUGAUGGCGACCGGCGCACGGGUGAGUAACGCGUAUCCAACCUACCCCUUAGUAGGGCAUAGCCCGUAGAAAUGCGGAUUAAUACCCUAUGUUUUCCGGAGACGGCAUCAGAACUGGAACAAAGAUUGAUCGCUAAGGGAUGGGGAUGCGUACGAUUAGGUUGUUGGCGGGUAACGGCCACCAAGCCUGCGAUCGUUAGGGGUUCUGAGAGGAAGGUCCCCCACACUGGUACUGAGACACGGACCAGACUCCUACGGGAGGCAGCAGUGAGGAAUAUUGGUCAAUGGGCGUGAGCCUGAACCAGCCAAGUAGCGUGCAGGACGACGGCCCUACGGGUUGUAAACUGCUUUUAUCAGGGGAUAAAGUGCGGGACGUGUCCCUCAUUGCAGGUACCUGAUGAAUAAGGACCGGCUAAUUCCGUGCCAGCCGCCGC
rnacentral:rRNA from 1 species